rnacentral:rRNA from 1 species
GCGGAAGGAUCAUUGUCGG